AUUGAACGCUGGCGGCAUGCCUUACACAUGCAAGUCGAACGGCAGCGCGGGGCAACCUGGCGGCGAGUGGCGAACGGGUGAGUAAUAUAUCGGAACGUACCCUGGAGUGGGGGAUAACGUAGCGAAAGUUACGCUAAUACCGCAUACGAUCUAAGGAUGAAAGUGGGGGAUGCGCAAGCACCUCAUGCUCCUGGAGCGGCCGAUAUCUGAUUAGCUAGUUGGUGGGGUAAAGGCCUACCAAGGCAUCGAUCAGUAGCUGGUCUGAGAGGACGACCAGCCACACUGGAACUGAGACACGGUCCAGACUCCUACGGGAGGCAGCAGUGGGGAAUUUUGGACAAUGGGCGAAAGCCUGAUCCAGCAAUGCCGCGUGAGUGAAGAAGGCCUUCGGGUUGUAAAGCUCUUUUGUCAGGGAAGAAACGGUGAGGGCUAAUAUCCUUUGCUAAUGACGGUACCUGAAGAAUAAGCACCGGCUAACUACGUGCCAGCAGCCGCGGUAAUACGUAGGGUGCAAGCGUUAAUCGGAAUUACUGGGCGUAAAGCGUGCGCAGGCGGCUUUGUAAGUCUGUCGUGAAAUCCCCGGGCUCAACCUGGGAAUUGCGAUGGAGACUGCAAGGCUAGAAUCUGGCAGAGGGGGGUAGAAUUCCACGUGUAGCAGUGAAAUGCGUAGGGAUGUGGAGGAACACCGAUGGCGAAGGCAGCCCCCUGGGUCAAGAUUGACGCUCAUGCACGAAAGCGUGGGGAGCAAACAGGAUUAGAUACCCUGGUAGUCCACGCCCUAAACGAUGUCUACUAGUUGUCGGGUUUUAAUUAACUUGGUAACGCAGCUAACGCGUGAAGUAGACCGCCUGGGGAGUACGGUCGCAAGAUUAAAACUCAAAGGAAUUGACGGGGACCCGCACAAGCGGUGGAUGAUGUGGAUUAAUUCGAUGCAACGCGAAAACCUUACCUACCCUUGACAUGUACGGAAGCCACGAGAGAUCGAGGUGUGCUCGAAAGAGAACCGUAACACAGGUGCUGCAUGGCUGUCGUCAGCUCGUGUCGUGAGAUGUUGGGUUAAGUCCCGCAACGAGCGCAACCCUUGUCAUUAGUUGCUACGAAAGAGCACUCUAAUGAGACUGCCGGUGACAAACCGGAGGAAGGUGGGGAUGACGUCAAGUCCUCAUGGCCCUUAUGGGUAGGGCUUCACACGUCAUACAAUGGUACAUACAGAGGGCCGCCAACCCGCGAGGGGGAGCUAAUCCCAGAAAGUGUAUCGUAGUCCGGAUUGUAGUCUGCAACUCGACUACAUGAAGUUGGAAUCGCUAGUAAUCGCGGAUCAGCAUGUCGCGGUGAAUACGUUCCCGGGUCU
rnacentral:rRNA from 1 species